AUGGAACCUGCUAAGAGGCACACAAACCUACUAUUAAUGGAUAUUCUUCCUAAAUCAAAUGUGACCAGAAGGAAUCUGACACAACCAACCCUUCCUUUGCAAUCAACGUGGGAUCCAAAACAAACCUUCGGCGCUCCCGGCAUCGCUGCCCAAGGAACCAGGCAUCCUGCAAAUAAACACUGAAUUGCAAAUCUGCGGUGAGUUGAGAAUAAAUCUGCUUCACCUGAAGUGGGGGAGAAAGCA
rnacentral:lncRNA from 1 species